AAAUUUUAAAAUUAUGGUUUACUAUUAAAAAAAAGUAAACUUCAAAUACCAUUCCGGCGGUUUCGCACUUUCUCAGUUUAGUAUCUCGUGGUUUAAAGUGUAUUAUGUUAGUGUCCUGUGGUUUCAUUUUUAUCUUUUCGUCAAUUUUUUUGUUAAUAUUUCGAUUAUCAAAUAUUCACUUUAGUUUCAACUUUGUCACUGAUUAAAAAAAAAAAAUUACUGAAAUCGAUAAUAAAAAGAUAAAAAUAAAACCAUAUGACACUAAAUUGAUACACUUUAAACUAUAAGGUACUAAAGUGAGAAAGUAUAAAAUCACAGAGCUGGUAUUUGAAGUUUUCUCAUUUUAAAAUUGAGAGCACCAAAUGGUCAAAUUGCUCACCCUUUUUCUAUAAAAAUUUUUUUAAUAUAAUUUUUAUUAUUUUUUAAAAAUAUUUUUAGUGUUAAUUAUAAUUGUGACAAUUGCAUGAAGCAUACUAAGUAAAUUUGUAAUGAUAAAUAAUAUAUUUAAAUUUUGAAGUUAAAAUAUCGUUGACCGACUCAAAUCAAAUAAAUUGAAAGAUCGAACAGUAAAAUCAAAUUUUUUUGAAAAAAUUAGGUGGAAAACUCAAAAUGAUUGGUAGUACAGAUAAAUUUUCUAUUUUUUUAUCCUUUGAAUAAUUUU
rnacentral:lncRNA from 1 species